rnacentral:rRNA from 1 species
GCGUGAGUGAAGAAGGCCUUAGGGUUGUAAAGCUCUUUCAGUUGGAAAGAUAAUGACGGUACCAACAGAAGAAGCUCCGGCUAACUCCGUGCCAGCAGCCGCGGUAAUACGGAGGGAGCUAGCGUUAUUCGGAAUUACUGGGCGUAAAGAGUACGUAGGCGGUUUGUUAAGUUGGAAGUGAAAUCCCAGGGCUCAACCCUGGAACUGCUUUCAAAACUGGCAAACUAGAGAUUGAUAGGGGACAGUGGAAUUCCUAGUGUAGAGGUGAAAUUCUU